CAUUGUGCUGAGGCACGAAUUACUAAACUAUAUCAGUAACUUUCUAGUUUCUACGCAAUCUCUGAAGCUCACCUUUUCAGUUAGUUAUUCAAAUGAUAAUGUUUAUUACUGCUGUAAUACUUAGGACUUUUAAUCAUGAUUCAUGCCAUUAAUUGCAUAUGUGUGACUUGUAAAAAGUAAUUGAAUCAGUUUAUGAACAGCAGCAAGUCUUUGGGAGUCCUUAUUUCUUCCUCAAAUCACAAGGGGGAUAAGUAUCUACUUCAUUGUCGUCAAAUGGGAUUCAAAAUGUCAUGUUUUACUACGAGACAGCAAAUUUAGUGUUUCUGAAAUCUUCAUUUAAAAUAAUGGACACUGUAACUGGUCAAUUUUAAUGACUGCUCGAACUUCUUAUACUUAUGAAGAAACUUACAAUGACGUUGCGUUAUCAAAAUUCAAGAAAGUUUGAUGUCGAUUCAGAAUCCAACUAUUUGAUAAACGAUCGGAAAAACGGGAUAGAGUUCAAUUAAACGAAGCAUAUUGUCAUUUUAAAAAACGCUAAUAUUAUAUUAAUUUAACUAUAAGCCUACUACUUACUUAGUCUGUUCUAAAUAGUUUCUAAUUAUUUAGUUUUAGAGUAAAAAACACCAAGUUAGGAAAUUAGUUUUUUAAUAUAGUCCAAAUAUUUUAUUUUAUUUUUUUUCAAUUUACAAAUAUUAUUGAAAACGAACAUAUUAUAUUAUAUAUAUUUUACUAUGUUAAAUAUCAUGCUGAAAUCCUUUGAUUUGGUGUUCUUUUUUUUUACAUGAUGUUCUAGCUUUUAUCCUUACUUCAUCAUUUUUAAUUAUUUAAGAAUUGUCAUUCUUGUAUUAAAAAAUGUUGUGUGAUUCUUGGAAGAUAAGAUGAAAAUCCAUGUCUAAAAUUACAGGAGGCAGAAAAAAUAUCACAAGAAAUAGGACUCAACAUUUUUGGUAAUGAAAGAAUUGUUAAUUGUGCAAGUGCCUCUUAAUGUCAAGAUCAAUAAUAGUGACUUGUGAUCUCCUUAAUAAAUUGUCCUUUUACAUAAAUUCCUUCAGAUCUUCCACGGAAUCAUCGUAUACUUUCUACAUAUAAGAACUAAGGAGUUCCAUAAAAUGACAGAAAGACGACCCAGUGAGGAAGAGAGAGAGUUCUCUUCCUCCAUCCACAGCUCCUUCUUUGAAAUUCAACUUUACUUCGUCUCCUACUCUUUAAAAAAAAACUAAUCAUUAAUUAGAGUCAUUCAGUGUUUUUGAUUUAUGUAACGGAGAAAUCACUCAUCUCAACAACAUUUAUAUCAAUUGCAUGUAUAAGUUGGACUUUGUGAAAUACGGUCUAUACGGAUAAUUAUAUGACAUGGAUACUUCAA
rnacentral:lncRNA from 1 species